rnacentral:lncRNA from 1 species
GCCCGCGAACCCCGCGACCCCCGCCCCGCCGCCGGGUCAGCUGACCUGGGUCGCUAGCUAGCUUGCUCCCCGCCCGCCGCCCCGUUUCCGGUCCCCGGGGUCCGCGAGCUGCGCAAGGAGCGGGAGCGGCCGCAGCCGGGAGGUGAUGCUGGGGGCUGAUUACCAUGAGAAAGGCUGUGCCUGGAAAAGCCUCCUCCACGCGACUGUCAAUCUCUCUAAGGGGGGGGGGGGGGCGGGGACGGAAAGGGGCCCUGUAGGAGUCACCAGAAAACUUGGAGUCAAAAGUGGAUCAUUGAGGCAGUUGACAAAUAAUUAAGACGUGGUACUUAAGGAGAAUCGGAGAAGACUAUCAGGAGGAAUUCAGAACAUCUUCACCUGGAUUUUCAUGGGUAUGUAGAAAUGUACAUGGUCAGAGCUGAAGGGAUAAUCUAACUUUUG